UACGUAGGUGACCAGCGUUGUCCGGAUUUACUGGGCGUAAAGAGCGCGCAGGCGGUCGUUCAAGUCGAGUGUGAAAGCCCCCGGCUCAACUGGGGAGGGUCAUUCGAUACUGAUCGACUUGAAGGCAGGAGAGGGAAGCGGAAUUCCCGGUGUAGUGGUGAAAUGCGUAGAUAUCGGGAGGAACACCAGUGGCGAAGGCGGCUUCCUGGCCUGUUCUUGGACG
rnacentral:rRNA from 1 species